rfam:Gorilla gorilla gorilla genomic chromosome, chr18, whole genome shotgun sequence
GCUGGGUGUGAUGGCAUGCAUCUGUAGUCCUAGCUACUUGGGAGGCUGAGGUGGGAGGAUUGCUUGAGUCCAGGAGUUCUCGGCUGUUGUGCGCUAUGCCGAUAGGGUGUCUGCACUAAGUUCGGCAUCAAUAUGGUGACCUUCCGGGAGUGAGGCACUGCCAUGUUACCUAAGGAUGGGUGAAACAGCCCAGAAACUGAGUAGAUCAAAACUCCAGUGCUGCUCAAUACUGAGAUUGCGCCUGUGAAUAGUCUCUACACUCCAGCCUGGGCAACAUACAGAGACCCUCUCUCUU